CCCUUAGACGUUCUGGGCCGCACGCGCGCUACACUGACGGAGCCAGCGAGUAUAAACCUUGGCCGAGAGGUCUGGGAAAUCUUGUGAAACUCCGUCGUGCUGGGGAUAGAGCGUUGUAAUUAUUGCUCUUCAACGAGGAAUUCCUAGUAAGCGCAAGUCAUCAGCUUGCGUUGAUUACGUCCCUGCCCUUUGUACACACCGCCCGUCGCUACUACCGAUUGAAUGGCUUAGUGAGGCUUCCGGAUUGGUUUAGAGAAGGGGGCAACUCCAUCUUGGAACCGAGAAGCUAGUCAAACUUGGUCAUUUAGAGGAAGUAAAAGUCGUAACA
rnacentral:rRNA from 1 species